GGGGAAUUUUCCGCAAUGGGCGCAAGCCUGACGGAGCAACGCCGCGUGAGGGAUGAAGGCCUCUGGGCUGUAAACCUCUUUUCUCAAGGAAGAAGAUCUGACGGUACUUGAGGAAUAAGCCACGGCUAAUUCCGUGCCAGCAGCCGCGGUAAUACGGGAGUGGCAAGCGUUAUCCGGAAUUAUUGGGCGUAAAGCGUCCGCAGGCGGCCUUGAAAGUCUGUUGUUAAAGCGUGGAGCUUAACUCCAUUUCAGCAAUGGAAACUACAAGGCUAGAGUGUGGUAGGGGCAGAGGGAAUUCCCGGUGUAGCGGUGAAAUGCGUAGAUAUCGGGAAGAACACCAGUGGCGAAGGCGCUCUGCUGGGCCAUAACUGACGCUCACGGACGAAAGCCAGGGGAGCGAAAGGGAUUAGAUACCCCUGUAGUC
rnacentral:rRNA from 1 species